GUGCUCGCUUUGGCAGCACAUAUGCUAAGAUUGGAAUAAUACAAGAAGAUUAACAUGGUCCCUGCACAAGGAUGACACAAAUUCGUGAACUGUUCCAUAUUUUU